GAUGAACGCUGGCGGCGUGCCUAAUACAUGCAAGUCGAACGCAUAGCGAAAGGUGCUUGCACCUUUCAAGUGAGUGGCGAACGGGUGAGUAACACGUGGACAACCUGCCUCAAGGCUGGGGAUAACAUUUGGAAACAGAUGCUAAUACCGAAUAAAACUUAGUGUCGCAUGACACAAAGUUAAAAGGCGCUUCGGCGUCACCUAGAGAUGGAUCCGCGGUGCAUUAGUUAGUUGGUGGGGUAAAGGCCUACCAAGACAAUGAUGCAUAGCCGAGUUGAGAGACUGAUCGGCCACAUUGGGACUGAGACACGGCCCAAACUCCUACGGGAGGCUGCAAUAGGGAAUCUUCCACAAUGGGCGAAAGCCUGAUGGAGCAACGCCGCGUGUGUGAUGAAGGCUUUCGGGUCGUAAAGCACUGUUGUAUGGGAAGAACAGCUAGAAUAGGAAAUGAUUUUAGUUUGACGGUACCAUACCAGAAAGGGACGGCUAAAUACGUG
rnacentral:rRNA from 1 species